UGGGAAACUAUCAAGGGCAUAGGGAAACGGGACGAGAACAGCUUCGAUCUCAACAAAGAUGGUCACGUGGACUUGGAAGAACUCAGCAAGAUGAUUGGCGAGCGAGAAGCACGUGACUUAAUGGAUGCCUUGUCUGGCUCUUAUGACCCUGUUCCAGUUGAGGAGUUUAAACGAAAUGUUCGUGACCUAGCCGAACUUUCAGAAGAAGACCUCAUUAAGCAGGUGGAAGAGCUCUCCGAGAUGGAGUAGGAUCGCCAUUGCGGUCAUCAUAAAAAGAUGAAACAAUAAAGAUUUGUUUUUCAACGUAA